AGAGUUUGAUCCUGGCUCAGAUUGAACGCUGGCGGCAUGCCUUACACAUGCAAGUCGAACGGCAGCACGGGAGCAAUCCUGGUGGCGAGUGGCGAACGGGUGAGUAAUGUAUCGGAACGUACCUUUCAGUGGGGGAUAACGUAGCGAAAGUUACGCUAAUACCGCAUAUUCUGUGAGCAGGAAAGCAGGGGAUCGCAAGACCUUGCGCUGAUUGAGCGGCCGAUAUCAGAUUAGCUAGUUGGUGAGGUAAAGGCUCACCAAGGCGACGAUCUGUAGCGGGUCUGAGAGGAUGAUCCGCCACACUGGAACUGAGACACGGUCCAGACUCCUACGGGAGGCAGCAGUGGGGAAUUUUGGACAAUGGGGGCAACCCUGAUCCAGCCAUGCCGCGUGAGUGAAGAAGGCCUUCGGGUUGUAAAGCUCUUUCAGCCGGGAAGAAAUCACAUGGGUU
rnacentral:rRNA from 1 species